CUUAAAACCCUAAAAUCUAAAAAACCCUACAUUAAAAAUACAUCCCUGCAAGUACCAGUACUUUUUCUUCUUUUCAAACUCAUUCACUUCUUCCAAGUGGUAGGUUCCAUCACUACUACUACUACUUCUGCUACCACAACUCACACCCGCACGCUUUCUUUCUUCCCCAAUUCUCCUUCGCAUUUUCCCACCUUCCAAACACAAUUUCGAACAACCCUUUCUCCGUAUCACAAACUGGAAGAGAAACGCGAUAAUGGACUCGAGAGAAUCGCAGCCGCUAUCGCAUAUAUCACCGCAUCCACAACACCACCACCAUCACCAACCGCAACCAAACAUAUUACUCGGCGGCCCCACCUCCUCUUACUCCAACACUAGCGCCGCUCACGCUGCAAUGAGUAUGAUCAACCCCAACAUCCCUUCCACUGCUGCCGCUGGUUUCCCUUUUAAUUCAGUGGGCCCGCCACGCCCACAAUCUAAGCCUCUCUCUUCGGAUGGUGUUCUUGAUGGAUCAUCACCGCCUUCUUCAACGGGGAUGAGGUUUAGUAUGGAGCCGGCGAAGAAGAAGCGAGGGAGGCCCAGGAAGUACACCCCUGAUGGCAACAUUGCAUUGGGGUUGUCGCCAACCCCGAUUUCUUCUUCCCCAAAUUCAUUAGUCCAUGCCGAUUCUGGGGUUGGCACCCCUGGCGUGGCCUCUGAGCC
rnacentral:misc_RNA from 1 species